UUUGGAGGGCAAGUCUGGUGCCAGCAGCCGCGGUAAUUCCAGCUCCAAUAGCGUAUAUUAAAGUUGUUGCAGUUAAAAAGCUCGUAGUUGAAUUUCGGGAUCAAUUUGUUGGUCGUGCCUCGGUACUUACUGGCAUUAUUGGUUUCUACCUUCUGAAGAACCUUGAUGUCAUUAAUUUGGUGUCUUGGGGAAUCAGGACUGUUACUUUGAAAAAAUUAUAGUGUUUAAAGCAGGCA
rnacentral:rRNA from 1 species